rnacentral:tRNA from 1 species
UCCCCUGUGGUGUAAUGGCAGCACAGUGGCUUUUGGUGCCAUUUGUCCGGGUUCGAGUCCUGGCAGGGGAG